rnacentral:rRNA from 1 species
UACAGAGGUCUCAACCGUUGUUCGGAUUCAUUGGGCGUAAAGGGUGCGUAGGCGGUCGUGCAAGUCGGAUGUGAAAUCUCAGGGCUCAACCCUGAAACUGCAUUCGAUACUGCGCGGCUAGAGUGCUGGAGGGGAGACUGGAAUUUACGGUGUAGCAGUGAAAUGCGUAGAUAUCGUAAGGAAGACCAGUGGCGAAGGCGAGUCUCUGGACAGCAACUGACGCUGGGGCACGAAGGCCAGGGGAGCAAACGGG